rnacentral:lncRNA from 1 species
GUUUUAUUGCGUUAUGCAGAUCUUUCAAAUAUUGGGUCAUAUUAUUGCACAGUAUUGUGAAAAAUCACAUUUGUUAAUAUCACCACUAGUCUUAUCAUAAAACUCUGUAAAUACCGGGAAGUUUUUAAGCUCUUGUUGCUGAAUACUUGUUUUCCCCAAAUCUAUAUUUCACUGAAAGCUCAAAGGUUAACAGCUCAGCUUAAGCAGUGGGACAUGACUGAGCCAGAUUCCAGCUGAUUUCCUCUCAGGAAUCUCUUUCUCCCCUUUUUCUUUUUUCUUCUCUAUCCCCGGGGCAUUGUUUGUUGGGCACCACCCAUGCUCCAGAAGGCUGGCCUCCUGCUUCACUUAGUGAAGGCUGACCAAACAGAGAGGGAACAAGAGAGAAGAAGAGAAGCCGCCCAGAUGAGAGAGAAGCCAUCUUACCUUUGUGCAGAUUCUCCUGGCAUUUUAAUGCUGCAGAAGCAGGUGUCUUCUAUCUUCCUCUUUACUAGAAUGUGGACCCAUAUUAACAACACAAUUCAUCAGUCUGUCUUUUGCUGUCCCUCAACCCUGUGAUCAUGUGAUACUAUGAAGAUACGCAAGCACCACGGAGUUCAGGGCAACCCU